UACAGAGGGUACGAGCGUUAAUCGGAAUUACUGGGCGUAAAGCGCGCGUCGGCGGCUUUGCAAGUCGGGUGUGAAAUCCCCAGGCUUAACCUGGGAACUGCAUUCGAGACUGCAUUGCUAGAGUAUGGGAGAGGGAAGUGGAAUUUCCGGUGUAGCGGUGAAAUGCGUAGAUAUCGGAAGGAACAUCAGUGGCGAAAGCGACUUCCUGGACCAAUACUGACGCUCAUGUGCGAAAGCGUGGGGAGCAAACAGG
rnacentral:rRNA from 1 species